UACGUAGGGUGCAAGCGUUAAUCGGAAUUACUGGGCGUAAAGCGUGCGCAGGCGGUUCGUUAAGUCAGAUGUGAAAGCCCCGGGCUCAACCUGGGAACUGCAUUUGAAACUGGCGGGCUUGAGUGUGGCAGAGGGGGGUGGAAUUCCGCGUGUAGCAGUGAAAUGCGUAGAGAUGCGGAGGAACACCGACGGCGAAGGCAGCCCCCUGGGCCAACACUGACGCUCAGGCACGAAAGCGUGGGGAGCAAACAGG
rnacentral:rRNA from 1 species